rnacentral:rRNA from 1 species
CCUACGGGAGGCAGCAGUGGGGAAUAUUGCACAAUGGGGGAAACCCUGAUGCAGCGACGCCGCGUGAGUGAAGAAGUAUUUCGGUAUGUAAAGCUCUAUCAGCCGGGAAGAGAAGGACGGUACCUGAGUAAGAAGCCCCGUCUAACUACGUGCCAGCAGCGGCGGUAAUACGUAGGGGGCAAGCGUUAUCCGGAUUUACUGGGUGUAAAGGGGGCGUAGUCGGGGCAGAAAGUCUGAAGUGAAAGCCCGCGGCUCAACCGCGGAACUGCUUUGGAAACUUUUUUGCUGGAGUACCGGAGAGGUAAGCGGAAUGCGUAGUGUAGCGGUGAAAUGCGUAGAUAUUAGGAGGAACACCAGUGGCGAAGGCGGCUUACUGGCCGGUAACUGACGUUGAGGCUCGAAAGCGUGGGGAGCAAACAGGAUUAGAUACCCGAGUAGUC